AGUGAACGCUGGCGGUAGGCCUAACACAUGCAAGUCGAACGGCAGCACAGGAGAGCUUGCUCUCUGGGUGGCGAGUGGCGGACGGGUGAGGAAUACAUCGGAAUCUACUUUUUCGUGGGGGAUAACGUAGGGAAACUUACGCUAAUACCGCAUACGACCUACGGGUGAAAGCAGGGGACCUUCGGGCCUCGCGCGAAUGAAUGAGCCGAUGUCGGAUUAGCUAGUUGGCGGGGUAAAGGCCCACCAAGGCGACGAUCCGUAGCUGGUCUGAGAGGAUGAUCAGCCACACUGGAACUGAGACACGGUCCAGACUCCUACGGGAGGCAGCAGUGGGGAAUAUUGGACAAUGGGCGCAAGCCUGAUCCAGCCAUACCGCGUGGGUGAAGAAGGCCUUCGGGUUGUAAAGCCCUUUUGUUGGGAAAGAAAUCCAGCUGGCUAACACCCGGUUGGGAUGACGGUACCCAAAGAAUAAGCACCGGUUAACUUCGUGCCAGCCGCCGCCGUAA
rnacentral:rRNA from 1 species